CCGGCACGGGUGAGUAACACGUAUCCAACCUGCCGUCUACUCUUGGACAGCCUUCUGAAAGGAAGAUUAAUACCAGAUGGCAUCAUGAGUCCGCAUGUUCACAUGAUUAAAGGUAUUCCGGUAGACGAUGGGGAUGCGUUCCAUUAGAUAGUAGGCGGGGUAACGGCCCACCUAGUCUUCGAUGGAUAGGGGUUCUGAGAGGAAGGUCCCCCACAUUGGAACUGAGACACGGUCCAA
rnacentral:rRNA from 1 species